rnacentral:rRNA from 1 species
CUGAGGCACGAAAGCGUGGGGAGCAAACAGGAUUAGAUACCCUGGUAGUCCACGCCGUAAACGAUGAGUACUAAGUGUCGGGUUAAACCCGGUACUGAAGUUAACACAUUAAGUACUCCGCCUGAGUAGUACCGUACGCAAGUAUGAAACUUAAAGGAAUUGACGGGACUCCGCACAAGCGGUGGAUCAUGUUGUUUAAUUCGAAGAUACCCGAAAAACCUUACCAGGUCUUGACAUGUUUUUGCAAAAUGAUAGUAAUAUCGUGGAGGUUACCAGAAACACAGGUGGUGCAUGGUUGUCGUCAGCUCGUGUCGUGAGAUGUUAGGUUAAGUCCUAAAACGAGCGAAACCCUUAUCGUUAGUUGCCAGCACGUUAUGGUGGGGACUUUAACGAGACUGCCAAUGAUAAAUUGGAGGAAGGUGAGGAUCACGUCAAAUCAGCAUGCCCCUUAUGACCUGGGCUACAAACGUGAUACAAUGGCUGUUACAAAGGGUAGCUGAAACGCAAGUUCUUGGCCCAAUCCCCAAAAACAGUCCCAGUCCGGAUUGAAGUCUGCAACUCGACUUCAUGAAGUUGGAAUCGCUAGUAAUCGCGAAUCAGCAUGUCGCGGUGAAUACGUUCUCGGGGUUUGUACACACCGCCCGUCAAACCACGAAAGUUGGCAAUACCCCAAAACGGUAGCCUAACUCGUUUAUUCGAGGGGCGCCGUCUAAGGUGGGUCGAUGAUUGGGGUAGUCGUAACAAGCGGUUCCCUAA